UAGCAGUGAGGAAUAUUGGUCAAUAGCCUAACGGCUGAACCAGCAACUUGGAGGAACAUACAGCAAUAGCUGGUUGCAUUAACAAUAAGUUUUUACAACAUCGACUAUGUCGAAUAAAGUUCUAGGUAGAGUUAUGAUAAUGACAUUUUCUAUCUAUGUGUCUUGACCAAAUCACGUGCCAGCAGUCGCGGUAAUACGUGGAAGACUAGUGUUAUUCAUCUUUAAUUGGUUUAAAGGGUACCUAGACGGUCUAUUAAGCCCUUAAGGGGUACUUACAGACUAGAGUUUGAUGAGAGGGGGGAAGUACGAGAGAGUGUAGAGAUGAAAUUCUGUCAUACCUUACUUGGAACAGGCAACGGCGAAAGCAACUCCUUAUGUAAAAACUGACGUUGAAGGACGAAGGA
rnacentral:rRNA from 1 species